rnacentral:lncRNA from 13 species
CAGACCACGAGCCUCCCCGCUGAGAAAGCAAGCAGACUCACAGCUUUUUGGCCUCUCGGGAGCCUGCAGAGGAAAGGGUCUGUGGAUUAUCUUGGCUUUCUAGGAAUCAUCUAUGUGCUGGGGCUAUAGACUAGGUCAAAGGAGACUGUCAUGUAAAACAAAAAGUAUGGAUCUGGAGACGAGGAGAUUAUUGGGUCUUUUGCAGAGAAACAGAGAAAUGAUCCUGCCUCAUGGUGCAGCAGACAACUGGUUAAUGCUCUGUGGACUUGAAAGGAAGACAGCAAUACAGAGAAACAAUAUUUCAUUUUGCCUAGGAUCUCUUUUUUAUUGAAUUCCUUGCCCCUUUGUUCCCUUCUCUCCCAGCUAAGAGCUUCCCUUAUUGUCUCGAGGAUGGGAAAACACAAGUUGGGGGAAGGAGGAGGCUAAUUUUUCAGUGAGGCUCUUCAAUGCCAAUGACAUGACAGAUGGAUUUGGAGGUUCACACAAUCACUUUUUCUUUAAUCAUGCUGGCUACCACAUGGUGCAGAUAUACAAUUGGAAAUGAAGGUUCAUCCAGGAGGGAUGUUUUAAAGUAUGUACCUAUGCAAAAACUACGUACAGACAGUUUGCAGAGCAUGGAGCAGCCUUGCAUUCUAGAUAUAGAGCCCUGCUCUAAAAUGCUGUAGUGUGCAUGGGUGUGUGAGUGAGCAGGCAUGUGCGUGCACACACACACACACACACACACACACACAUACACACCCUCCUAGUUGAACAAUUGUCUUAUAAAGAUUCUCUCUGAAAGAAAACACAUUUUAUCUGAAGUGCCACAAAGAGAAGAAGAUUCAUGCCAUCCAUCAAUCACUAGUAACUGGCAUUCAGCUCACAGAUAGACUCUCCUCUUUUAAUUUUUAAAUCACCGUAUCAAUCAAAGCACCGUAUUGUUCUCAGUCUCAUUUUAGCUAUUCUGAGUAGAUCCUAUCUUCUAGUCUCCUACUUGCUUCUUGGAUUUUCUCCUGUUGUCUGUGUCUUAUAGAAAGCAUUCACAGGCUUCUGAGACACAUAGUUAAAAAAAGGUAUUCAUUUUUCUCUAGUUAAUAAAUACACGAGUUUCCUUAGGAAACUGUUUGUG